GUGUCAGCCGCCGCGGUAAUACGUAGGGGGCAAGCGUUAUCCGGAAUUAUUGGGCGUAAAGAGUGCGUAGGUGGUUUUGUAAGCGCGGGGUGAAAGGCUAUGGCUCAACCAUAGUAAGCCUUGCGAACUGCAAGACUUGAGUGCAGGAGAGGAAAGUGGAAUUCCUAGUGUAGCGGUGAAAUGCGUAGAUAUUAGGAGGAACACCAGUGGCGAAGGCGACUUUCUGGACUGUAACUGACACUGAGGCACGAAAGCGUGGGGAGCAAACAGGAUUAGAUACCCUGGUAGUCCACGCCGUAAACGAUGAGCACUAGGUGUCGGGGUCGCAAGGCUUCGGUGCCGCAGUUAACGCAUUAAGUGCUCCGCCUGGGGAGUACGCACGCAAGUGUGAA
rnacentral:rRNA from 1 species